rnacentral:lncRNA from 1 species
CAGGACAUGGCGUGAAACAUGACAGACAACAGGACAUGGCGUGAAACAUGACAGUACCCCCCCCCCAUGGCGCCUUCCACGGCGCCCACGGAAGCCCCCCCCCAAACCAGGGCGGGCGGAGGGUGGUCCCAGGAGGAGGGACCGAACCCCUACCCCACAAGGCACACGAGCAGGGUGGGUGGAGGGAGGACCGGAGGAGGGCCAAAACAAGAGUCCACACGACACGACAAAAGUCCACGACCAGGAAAAAAACACGAAGUCCAGGGAUUCCCUCACGGAGGGUGACGGCGUGGCGAGAUCCUGCUCAGCAGCCGCUGAGCCAGGGUGGCACUCUUAGUGCCCUUGAGCUGGGCCGAUGUCCCCGAGGGCCACCCCGAAUGGCAACGUCCUCCAGGCGGACGCUGAUCCGAGGGGCUGAGGAGUCGAGGUGGACGUCGCCGCAGGAGGCAGCGCCAUCCACGCAGCAGGAGGCGCCGAGGGCGAGGCCACCAGUCCGGCAGACGAGGCAGGAACCAGCGGCAUCCUCCUUGGACCACCGCGACGAGAGACAGGAACCAGCGGCGCCCUCCUUGGACCACCGCGACGAGAGACAGGAACCAGCGGCGCCCUCCUUGGACCACCGCGACGAGAGACAGGAACCAGCGGCGUCCUCCUUGGACCACCGCGACGAGAGACAGGAACCAGCGGCGUCCUCCUUGGACCACCGCGACGAGAGCCAGGAACCAGCGGCGUCCUCCUUGGACCACCGCGACGAGAGCCAGGAACCAGCGGCGUCCUCCUUGGACCACCGCGACGAGAGCCAGGAACCAGCGGCGUCCUCCUUGGACCACCGCGACGAGAGCCAGGAACCAGCGGCGUCCUCCUUGGACCACCGCGACGAGAGCCAGGAACCAGCGGCGUCCUCCUUGGACCACCGCGACGAGAGCCAGGAACCAGCGGCGUCCUCCUUGGACCACUGCGACGAGAGACAGGUGCAGAUGCGACCGGAGCCGAGCCGCCAGGAACCGAUGCAGGAGCGGCCGGAGCCGGGCCGCCAGGAACCGAUGCAGGAGCGGCCGGAGCCGGGCCGCCAAGAACCGAUGCAGGAGCGGCCGGAGCCGGGCGGCCGGAGCCGGGCCGCCAGGAACCGAUGCAGGUGCAGCGGGAACUAUGACGAGCGCGACCCCCUCCUG